rnacentral:rRNA from 1 species
AUGUUCCGCGUUCGGCUAGAGAAUGACACCAUCAUCCUAGGCUAUAUUUCAGGAAAGAUACGGUCUAGUUCUAUACGAAUACUGAUGGGGGAUAGGGUCAAAAUUGAAGUAAGUCGUUAUGAUUCAAGCAAGGGACGUAUAAUUUAUAGACUUCCCCAUAAGGAUUCGAAGCGUAUCGAAGACUCGAAGGAUAGCGAAGAUUUGAAGGAUAGCGAAGAUUUGAAGGAUACCAAAGAUUCAAAGGAUUAG